GUAGGUGGCAAGCGUUGUCCGGGAAUUAUUGGGGCGUAAAGCGCGCGCAGGCGGUUCUUUAAGUCUGAUGUGAAAGCCCACGGGCUCAACCGUGGAGGGUCAUUGGAAACUGGAGAACUUGAGUACAGAAGAGGAAAGCGGAAUUCCACGUGUAGCGGUGAAAUGCGUAGAGAUGUGGAGGGACACCAGUGGCGAAGGCGGCUUUCUGGUCUGUAACUGACGCUGAGGCGCGAAAGCGUGGGGAGCAAACAGGAUUAGAUACCCUGGUAGUCCACGCCGUAAACGAUGAGUGCUAAGUGUUAGGGGGUUUCCGCCCCUUAGUGCUGCAGCUAACGCAUUAAGCACUCCGCCUGGGGAGUACGGCCGCAAAGGCUG
rnacentral:rRNA from 1 species